AUUUUAAGAAAGCAGAAAAAACAAUGCUUGACUACUGUAUAUCAACAGCCAAAAGCAAUUAAACUAAUUUCUGCGCCUAUAUAUAAUUUAACUAUAGGUAAAUUGAAGUACACUAAAUGAAUAAUAACUUGAAAACCCUCAGUUAUAACCAGAAUAUGGCAGCAGUAAGCAUGCUUCCCAAUCUAAAAGAACAUAUACGCCUUUUCAGAGAAAAGAACCAACAUCCACCCUGCCAUUUUCAAUCAGGUGGGAAGAAAAAAAAUAUUUAUUUGUUUUUAAUUUUCUUUCAAUUGGGAGGACAGGAUGAUCUCCGCAUGCUUAUAUGUAGCUCCACCCUUCCUCUCCAUUUAGUGCCACCUUCAACAUAGAAAAGAAGACUCCUUCAACCCACUCCUAAACAGGGCAGACCUUUUAUUUAUUUAUUUUUAUUUUUGAUCCAUGUUUACUCGAAUUGCUAUUGGAACUCAUAUGAAAAGAAGCUAUUUAACGAGAUACUAGCAUAGGAGGUCCAAUUUGACCUGAAUCUUGAAUAUGUGUUUAAUUACACUCGAGUACUUGUAAUAUAGAUACAAGUACACUUCAAUUGACUGAAAUAUGCGGCUGCAUGUUACGUCAACGUAUUCGGAUGGACUUAUAUAUGGCUCACAUAAAUGUUACUAAAUCAUUGCUUUUGUGCGUAUAUUUUGUCCUUUUUAGUAAGGUGCAUAAUGUUUCUUUUUUUGAUCAAAUCAUGCUGUUUCAUUUUCUUUUCUUAUGGAUCCCUACUAAGACUAUUUUUUUAUACAACUUGGAAUGAUUUUUAAAUACUUUGAUGUCCAAAAGAGUAUCCUAUAUGACAGUUGCUUUGGCCAAUAUAAUAUACACCUAUAUGAUGAUUUGGACAAGCAUAAGUAUGAAUGAAGUUUUAUUCUUUCUGACAUUGUUUAAGUAGUCAAAUUAUAUUAUUCGAGUCUAUCCCUUUUUGUUUUUAUUAGUGCAGUGAUGAGAAUGGAUUGUUUUAUG
rnacentral:misc_RNA from 1 species